CCUGAUAGCUCAUCUCAGUUGGAAAGAAUCUGCCUGCAAUGCAGGAGACCCUGGUUCAAUUCCUGGGUCAGGA
rnacentral:tRNA from 1 species